rnacentral:lncRNA from 1 species
CGGUCACCUAACACUGCCGAACGGACGUGUGCGCGCAGACCUGAGCUGACGGUGUCUAGCGAGCGUCUUUUUUGUUCAGCUCGGCCUUGCCCUUCGAGAUGCGCCCACGCCGAGCCACGUGCCACAGACGUCGUCGUUGCCUCGCCCGAGCGGGCUUCUGACCUACGGACGCAGAUUUGAUCUUUGGCCACCUCGUUCCGGGGUGACCAUGGAUCGCAGGCGUACAAAACACGUCUCCAGGUAGG